GAUGAAGAACGUAGCGAAAUGCGAUAAGUAAUGUGAAUUGCAGAAUUCAGUGAAUCAUCGAAUCUUUGAACGCACAUUGCGCCCCCCAGUAUUCUGGCGGGCAUGCCUGUUCGAGCGUCAUUUCAACCAUCAAGCCCUGCUUGUGUUGGGGUCCUGCGGCUGCCCGCAGGCCCUGAAAACCAGUGGCGGGCUCGCUAGUCACACCGAGCGCAGUAGCACAUCUCGCUCAGGGCGUGCGGCGGGCUCCAGCCGUUAAAGCACCCACCUUUCGCAAGGUUGACCUCGGAUCAGGUGGGAAUACCCGCUGAACUUAAGCAUAUCAAUAAGCGGAGGA
rnacentral:misc_RNA from 1 species